rnacentral:rRNA from 1 species
UAAACGACUCUCGGCAACGGAUAUCUCGGCUCACGCAUCGAUGAAGAACGUAGCAAAAUGCGAUACUUGGUGUGAAUUGCAGAAUCCCGUGAACCAUCGAGUUUUUGAACGCAAGUUGCGCCCGAGGCCUUCCGGUUGAGGGCACGUCUGCCUGGGCGUCACGU